rfam:Oryza barthii chromosome 11, whole genome shotgun sequence.
AAAAAGAGAAACCCUAGGUUUCAGUGUCCAACGUUUAACUGUCCGUCUUAUAUGAAUUUUUUUUAUAAUUAGUAUUUUCAUUGUUGUUAGAUGAUAAAAUAUGAUUAAUACUUUAUGCGUGACUUGUCUUUUUAAUUUUUUUCAUAAUUUUUUUAAAUAAGACGGACGGUCAAACGUUGGUCACGGAAACCCAUGUUUGUUUUUUUA